UUUUUUGUGCAGGGGUGGCCGAUGAGGCCUGAGAACACACCCUUUGAACCUGAUAAGGACUAUUUGCCGAGAAGGCAAAGUGCCUGCGAAGGAAGCGAUAUAACGAAUAGG
rnacentral:ncRNA from 1 species